AAAUCACAAUGCGGGACUAUCAGUCUUGCAAUUGGAUUGAGAACAAUGUACAACUCUUAUCGAUAAGCCAUUGGAGGGCAAGUCUGGUGCCAGCAGCCGCGGUAAUUCCAGCUCCAAUAGCGUAUAUUAACGUUGUUGCAGUUAAAAAGCUCGUAGUUGAAGUGUGGGUGGUGCUGUCUGAAUGACUUCGGUUAGUCAGAUGAUCACUACCCCCUUCCAGUAUCCAGUAGUGGGUAUUCACUUACUUACUAUUGUGUGUUGGUCGUUUACUGUGAGAAAAUUAGAGUGUUCAAAGCAGGCGUUUGCUUGAAUAGAUUAGCAUGGAAUAAUAAUUGAAGGCUUUCGUGUUCGAUUUGAUUGGUUUGUUCAUGGAAGCAAGGUUAAAAGGAACAGUUGGGGGUAUUCAUAUUCACUAGUUAGAGGUGAAAUUCUCGGAUUUAUGGAAGAU
rnacentral:rRNA from 1 species